rnacentral:rRNA from 1 species
GUCUUUUUGAGUUUAGUUUAAAGUCUGAUCUGCCCACUGAUUAAUUAAAUGGCCGCAGUAUAUUAACUGUGCAAAGGUAGCAUAAUCAUUAGUUUUUUAAUUGAAGACUUGUAUGAAUGAUUGGACGAGAUAUAGGCUGUUUCAUAAAAAUAUAUAGAAUUUUAUUUUUUAGUUAAAAAGCUAAAAUUUUAUUAAAAGACGAGAAGACCCUAUAGAUCUUUAUAAUAAAAAAAUUAUUAGCUAGUAGGAUUAAUUUUGUAAUAAUUUUUUUAUUAUUUUAUUGGGGUGAUAUUGAAAUUUGAGAAACUUUUGAUUAAAGUUUAUUCCAUUAAUUUAUGAUUAAAUGAUCCAUUUUUAGUGAUUAAAAAUUUAAGUUACCUUAGGGAUAACAGCGUAAUUAUUUUGGAGAGUUCUUAUCGAUAAAAUAGUUUGCGACCUCGAUGUUGGAUUAAGAUUAAUUCUAGGCGUAGUAGUUUAGGGUAUUAAGUCUGUUCGACUUUUAAUUUCUU